rnacentral:rRNA from 1 species
AACGCGAAGAACCUUACCAGCUUUUGACAUGUCUUGGACGGAUACCAGAGAUGGUUUCCUCUCUUCGGAGCCGAGAACACAGGUGCUGCAUGGCUGUCGUCAGCUCGUGUCGUGAGAUGUUGGGUUAAGUCCCGCAACGAGCGCAACCCUCGCCCUUAGUUGCCAUCAUUAAGUUGGGCACUCUAGGGGGACUGCCGGUGAUAAGCCGGAGGAAGGUGGGGAUGACGUCAAGUCCUCAUGGCCCUUACAGGCUGGGCUACACACGUGCUACAAUGGCGGUGACAACGGGAUGCAAAGGGGCGACCCUUAGCAAAUCUCGAAAAGCCGUCUCAGUUCGGAUUGCACUCUGCAACUCGAGUGCAUGAAGUUGGAAUCGCUAGUAAUCGCGGAUCAGCACGCCGCGGUGAAUACGUUCCCGGGCCUUGUA